UACGAGGGGGGCGAGCGUUGUUCGGAAUUAUUGGGCGUAAAGGGUGUGUAGGUGGCGCGCUAAGUCGGGUGUGAAAUUUCGGAGCUUAACUCCGAAACUGCAUUCGAUACUGGCGUGCUUGAGGACUGGAGAGGAGACUGGAAUUCCUGGUGUAGCGGUGAAAUGCGCAGAUAUCAGGAGGAACACCAAUAGCGAAGGCAGCUCGCUGGGACGUUACUGACACUGAGGCGCGAAAGCGUGGGGAGCGAACAGG
rnacentral:rRNA from 1 species